rnacentral:misc_RNA from 1 species
GAUGAAGAACGCAGCGAAAUGCGAUAAGUAAUGUGAAUUGCAGAAUUCAGUGAAUCAUCGAAUCUUUGAACGCACAUUGCGCCCGCCAGUAUUCUGGCGGGCAUGCCUGUUCGAGCAUCAUUUCAACCAUCAAGCCCCCGGCUUGUGUUGGGGACCUGCGGCUGCCGCAGGCCCUGAAAACCAGUGGCGGGCUCGCUAGUCACUCCGAGCGUAGUAGUUACAUCUCGCUCAGGGCGUGCUGCGGGUUCCGGCCGUUAAAAGCCUUAUUUACCCAAGGUUGACCUCGGAUCAGGUAGGAAGACCCGCUGAACUUAAGCAUAUCAAUAAGCGGAGGA